AUACACUUAGUAUAAAAGUAUAUUUAAUUUCCAAUUAAAAGGUUCAUUAAUGAAGUGUAUA
rnacentral:tRNA from 1 species